rnacentral:sRNA from 1 species
AGACGAGGAAGGAGUGACCGAUUCGGUU